GAUGAACGCUGGCGGUAUGCUUAACACAUGCAAGUCGAACGGAGUCCUUCGGGACUUAGUGGCGGACGGGUGAGUAACGCGUGAGAAUCUGCCUUCAGGAGGGGGACAACAGCUGGAAACGGCUGCUAAUACCGCAUAUGUCGAGAGACGAAAGAUUUAUCGCCUGAAGAUGAGCUCGCGUCCGAUUAGCUAGUUGGUGAGGUAACGGCUUACCAAGGCAAUGAUCGGUAGCCGGUUUGAGAGGACAACCAGCCACACUGGGACUGAGACACGGCCCAGACUCCUACGGGAGGCAGCAGUGGGAAUUUUCCGCAAUGGGCGCAAGCCUGACGGAGCAAUACCGCGUGGGGGAUGAAGGUUUUUGGAUGUAAACCCUUUUGUCAAGGAAGAAGCUCUGACGGUACUUGACGAAUAAGCCU
rnacentral:rRNA from 1 species